rnacentral:piRNA from 1 species
UAGACAGUAGACAGUAGGGAAUCAUGCC